CGUUCCAUUAUUGAUCGUGGGAGACGCCGGUUUUUUUAUCCGCACUCAUCCACACGACCCAACUCGCCGCCGCCCCCGCCGCACAGCCUCAGCUCGCCGCCGCGCCUGCUCCCUUGUUCGGUUCCGGUGAGCUCUCUGCACUUGGGCCCGCGUCUGCUACCCAUCCCAUUGCAUCGAGCUGGUAGCAGUUUGUCUUCUCGUCUCCAAAUCUUCACCUUCUUCCGAAUCCCUAUGCUGAGUGAAUCCACGACGGCGACCACGUCUUAUCCGCAACUACCUUGCCCGAUGGAUUCGGCAGCGGCGACGUCCUCGCCAUACCUGCAACACCCAUCUACAUAUGGCGGCAUCGGCGGCGGUGUCCAUGGCGGCGCCGUAUCCGCGCCAUCCACAGCAUCCCUCCACAGAGCCCCUCAGCAUGAUUCGACGGCGGCAGCGGCACCCUCACCUUAUACGUACGAGGAGAAUCGCUCACCUCAACCAUCCCCUAGUAUGAUCCAAGACCUAAAGAAGUUUGUUUGAUUAUGAUCUUUUUGCUCAUGGAGAUCUGGAAUCUAUUUACAUGAAGAUGCAAGUUGAGGAACUUUCAGGCCAUGUAUUUAAUUUGUUUAAAAAUAUAUGCACAUUGCGACUUUUAUAUUUAAUUUUGUUUUUUACAUUGUUCUAGUGCAAAAUAGCAGUACAACACUGCUGCAGCAACACGGCAUGAUCUCAUCUGCCAUUAAAAUCGAUCUAUGUUCUGCUCGCAUGGAUAUACUAGUAGACCUUAGCAUCCAGAGGUCCACACGGAGCUGCCUGCUUGGAUAGGCUACAGCGCCUGCUAAGUAGCCACUAAGCAUGCACUAUCUAGAACUAAACGAAGUCAAGACGAGAGUAAUUUUUAUCCUUGUCUUCUACAUGGUCUUUAUUAUCCCUUGCAUGUGCAUCUGUGCUGUUUUCUUGCUUGCAAGCCAAGAGUUGUGGUGAUAUAGAAUUUAUUCUGAUAGUACUCCUUGUAUUUAGCUAAUUGCUUUUCAGUCAAAUAUGACCUUAGUAGUCCUAGUCUUACCUUUUAUUUAUGAUGCUUGAGUUCUUACCUAGUCAUCACAGCACUCCUUGGGAUGGGAUCAAUAUUUGCGGUUUGACUAAUGAACUUCUAUGUUAAGAAUAAAUUUGGGCACAAGUAUUUCUGGAUCGAACUCACAAUGUAAUUUGAAAGUUGAAUUUAUAUGGUUAAGAAUACAUUUGCUCACAUGAGCAGUGUGUGUAUCCAAGACUCAAAAACAAUAUUUGUUGUUUACUUGUUUGAACAAAGAGAUUUUGUUGUUAGAAAUAAAUCUGGCCACAAGGUUUUGUGUUGAACAAAUGUUUCUUUAUGACUGAAAUAAAACAAAGUUUGUGGUUUGAAAAAUGAUUUUUUGUGGCGAAGGAUAAAUUUGAUAUAUGGAAAAUUAUGCUUGAAGAUCCACAAGAGUAUAAAUUUUGCAGUUGUUUCCAUUGAUAAUUAGUUUCUUUUUCAGCCGUGCUAAUUUUCCAAUUUUACACAUUUAAUUUAUGGCUGCUUUAGCUUCCAAAUCAUUAACACUAGUUAUUUCUAUUUUUUAUCAUUUUAGUUAGCCUUCCACCAGUAGGAGAUGUCUGCUUCAUCUGCACUCCAUCAGCAACAGUAGCGUGCCGCUAGCACAAAAAAAAAGGAAAUAAACCUUCUUGUGUGGAUGGAUGCUUUUAGUUGAUUACCACAGAUAUACAUGUCGCCGUGGCCUACCUCUAAACUAUUAGAAUCCUAAUAUCCUCCAUUACAUGUGCUAUAAUAGAUUGUUAUAUAAUUAUUUAUGUAUCCUACUAUCUUCUACCCAUAAUCUUGGUUUCAAAGGUGACUAGGUGUCCAGGCGAGAUCUAGUUGUGCGCCUAGGCGACAAGGCACCACUGUUCCCCAAGGCGAGCUAGGUUCGCCGUGGACGCCUAGGACGUUGCCUUUGAAGCAGGGCUCAUAAUACUUUCCCUUUUGUUUUGUUUCAAGCUAUAUAAGGUUCCAGACUUCCAGUUGAUCCAUUUAUAUUAUUAUAAGUAUAAUAACAUAUUACUUAGGUACUACAUUAAUUUUUUACCGUUUUCUUGAGUAUCUAUAAUGUAUCCUUGGCUUAUUGAAUUUACUGUAAGCUAAGUUAUGCUAUCACCAUUCUUCACUUAUAAAAAUAUGUUAAUGCUUCUCAUAUACAAUUAUACACUACAGAUUCUUCACUCUGAAAAAGACAAGACACUCUCUAUGGAUGGUGAACAUUUUUACCAUUUUCAUCUAAAAGAACAAAAUAUAAACAUUUGUAGUUUUCAAAUAGCUAAACAAUCUUAAGCAAAUAUUAGGUGGAGAUUGCUCUACAAUGUUUUUAGGUAAAUAGUUUAUAUUUUAUCUGCUAGUAUUUUUGUACUUAACUAAUUGUAUUAUUAAUGGUUUUGAUCAAAGCAGGAUGCAUUCGGGGUUGUCUAACCUGUGCUUUCCGUAGGGUGGUUCGUCCUGUUUGGUGCCUACUGCUGCAGUAUUCUUCAUAUACGGGAAUGUUACAAAGAUCACUAUAGUACCCACUAGAAUUGUAUUAAAGUUACAAAAUUUCAAGUUACUUUGGUAACAAAUAAUGUUUGUCACCAACUUACUUUUAUGCUUUGAUCCUAGACAAACAUAGAAAAUGUUGCACAUACUUUGAUUUGACAAUUUUAUUGUUCUUCAUGAACAAAUACUUAACAAUUUUAUAUUGAAAACUAUAAAAUGUUAUUCU